rnacentral:rRNA from 1 species
UGGGGAAUCUUGGACAAUGGGCGAAAGCCUGAUCCAGCGACGCCGCGUGGGUGACGAAGGCCUUAGGGUUGUAAAGCACUUUUCCCGGGGACGAUGGUGACGGUACGCGGGGAAUAAGCACCGGCCAACUCCGUGCCAGCAGCCGCGGUGAGACGGCGGGUGCGAGCGUUGUUCGGAAUCACUGGGCGUAGAGGGCGCGUAGGCGGGUGCGUGUGUCGGGUGUGAAAGGCCGGGGCUCAACCGGGAGGC